GAGAAAUGUAGAGGGCUUUGCUUUCAUUUUGAAACAGGCCGCUCAUGGAUACGAGGCUUCUGAUGCAAACCGGGUCACGGCCCCAACUACCCUGAUGUUCAAAGGCAAUACAUAUUAACCAAAAUGUCAAAUUAGUGCGCAGCAUGAUAGUUGCAGAAAUUUACGUCUGAUAGGGCUUUUAAAAUGAGGCGUGGCAAGAUGGCUUGCUAGCGCCACCUAGAACUGCCCAGACCGCUAUUCAAAACGUACAUGCACCAAAUUUGGUAGGCUCAUGGAACACCCCGAAUCAUUAAGAAAAGUCUCUUGGAGCCUAUCUCUAAACCUAACAGGAAGUCAGUUAUUUUUUUAUUUCCUGUGCAAUUUGGUAAAUUUUUGCUAUUUCCGGGCGUCGUUCUUUAACGUGGUGUCAGUGCGUGAUGUAAUUGUACGACAUGACGUAUAGUCUCUUUUUUUUCCGAUGGUCUAUCGAUAGUGAUGUUUAUCGAUAGUGAUACCUCUGCUUGCCAAUACACAGCCCUAGUAUAAUCCAGAAAAGAGAUUAUUUCCAGGAGCCCCGGGAUCCCAUGACUAAAAAAAGAGUGAAAUAAACUCUCACUCCUGCAAUACAUCACAUAAACAACAAAAUACAUCCCUAGUCUGAACUCUUCCUUUAGAAACACAACAAACGGACACUGAUCUGCGUGUGUUACAGGUGACCCGCCCCGUCAACAACCAAUGAGCUUCUCCGUCUGCAGCACGUUCACAAAGACCGUUACCAUGACGACAGGAGGCGACCUGAUGCACAGACCAUCAUUCAUCCAAACUUGACUGAAGUGUUGAGUGCGUUGAUGCAUAAAAGGGAAUCCAUAAUCCUCUGACAGAAGUGAUGUUAAGUCCACUCUUUAUAGGGCACACACAGGAGUUUCAGACCUCUGCAAGGUUCUGCGUGGCUUGUCAGAGAUGACUCUGCUGGAGAAGGAGGUGUUGAGUAGUCGUGUUCUGUGGGUGUGACGUGUUCUGAUCUCUGAUACAAUGCAAUGAGUCACCUUAUCAUGCAUAUUGAGGUCGUUUUUUUGUGAACACUCCACCAGUUGUUCUAUUCAAAUCUGAACGCUAUAAUUUUCAGGCGUUUACGGUCGGCUGUUGACGAGUGGUCAGAUUCUGUGUAAUGUGACUGAUGAAUGUGAUUUGAUGUCACAGGAGCUCAUAGGAGGAAGUUCGGUGAGGCGUAACCGCACUGCAGUGUUUUCCACAGGCUUGCACUCCUUUCCUCUUCUUGCUGGAUUCAGGAGAGACGUGACGGAGUCGCUCAGUGUCAUGUGUGACCUCAUCUACCUUCUGCUGAACGUGAUCUUCACUCUCCUGCAGACUCUCCACGUGACUGUAGCCCUCGUCUAUUGUGUGAUAAACGCCGUCUUCACUCCACCAGGAGAUUUCCUCCAUAUCCCGCACACUCUCUCAGAUGCACUCGAGAUUCCAGGUGCCUCGUGAUCAUCAAAAGUCAAAUAUUUCGAUGUCCUCUUGUUUUAAAGGCAUGUGCUCUUCAUCUGAGAUCUCCUCGGGUUCAUCAAAAGUCUCUUCAAUUUUGCGCGAGGUCUCAUGUUCCUCUGAGAGAUCUCCUGAAAAGACAAAUACACUGCCCGUCCAAAAAUAAUUCACCACCUGGGCAGUGCUAUGAUCUGGUUUUGCUGCAGUUGGUCAGGUCUAGGUUCAGCAACGUUCUGUGCCCAAAGAAUGAGGUCAGCUCACUACCUGAAUAUACUGAAUGACAAGGUUAUUCCAUCAACAGAUUUUUUUCUUCCAUGAUGGCACGGGCAUAUUCCAAGAUGACAAUGCCAGGAUUCACCGGGCUCGAAUUGUGCAAGAGUGCUUCAGGGAACAUGAGGCAUCAUUUUCACACAUGGAUUGGCCACCACAGAGUCCAGAUGACCUCAACCCGGUCCGACUCUCCCAUCAUCAAUACAAGAUACGGACAACACAUGAAUGCAACUCUGGACGGGAAUAAAUGUUGUGACAUUGCAUAUUCUAAUCGCAACGAUUCCACGGCGAAUGCAUGUGUGCCGUAAUCAACGCUACAGACCGUCCAACGAAAUAUAGUCUGACAAAAACAUGAUUGACAUUAAACAGAUAUUUUCUCCUCAAAAGUCUUUGACCGUAACAGCAACACUUUUUGACACGUUAUCUGUUUAUUUACAUUCAUAUGAUCAUUUUUAAAAGUUAUUAAAUAAUGGAAUGAUUUCAGUAAUACUUUUUGCAUUUUGUUAAGGAAAGUGUGAUGUAAUGACUGGUAUUAUUGACUCAUUUUAGUUCUUUAGUUAUGAUUUUAUUAUAAACUCUAUAAAGUCACUAUUAUAACAU